GGGGAUGUCAGGUUUCGACAGGGCUCGGGGACCGGAGAUCGCAGGUCGAGGUCGCCCUCAGGCCUCGUUAAACCGAGGGCAAACCUAGUAACUG
rnacentral:tmRNA from 1 species